UAGUAGCCUAGUGGACAUGGCAUCUGCCCGGUAAGCGGAACACUGUGGGUUCGAUUCCCAUCCCUGGACAC